rnacentral:lncRNA from 1 species
AGGGGAGGCAAGGGGCCCUCUCUUCUGACUCGGGCAAAGCUUUCUUAGGGAGCAUUGCCUUCCAUCUCCCCAUUUAGAAGAGAGGAAAACUGAGGUCCCCUGGUCGCAAUGAGAAGUCCUGGGCCAAGCCUGGCGAUGGGGCCUCCUGACCAGAGCUCUGGGUGGUGCCCGCCGCUGGGCCCCCCCUGGGCACUGGGAAGUCUCAGCUGGCCGGCCGGCCCCUCCUCUCACAGGGUCCCAUUUCCGGUGUGCUCGACGAUCCGUUCAGGUCAGCGACAGCCGGAGGCCAAGCAGAGGGGUCACUGCUAACGAUAUGCUAAUGACAGCGGGGACCAAUCAAUCUCCCCCGUAAUCAGGCAAUCAAUGCGCACUGCAGAGAGCGCCGGCUGCAAAUUGAAAUCGCUGCUCAGGAAAGAAACCAGGCGGGAGAGAGAAAGGAGAAAGAGCCGGCAUCUUUUUAAUCAACGCUCAGAGCUGCAGCCGCUAAUGAAGCCGAGGUUCUCGGGAACCCCAGGGCAAGGCCGGCGGCGAGCUGCCCAGACGCCCCUCCCCGCGCCCCGCCCGCGCCGCCCUCGCCGAUGGGAGGGCGCCCCCGACCCUGCGCCCCGAGCGCUCCAGGUCCGCGGUCCCGCCGCGCCCGUUAGAGAACGAAGGGUCGCCCGAGGCCACGGCCAGGGCGGGGGCCUUGUCACUGGCCCCUCCGCCCGGGCUCCUCGGUCGGGGCCCGUCUCAGCCUCGAUUUAGGAGGAGCUUCUCUCAGAAGAGGAGCGAACGGCCCGCCUCCCGGUCCUUUGUCUGAGCAGCCCUCCUGCGCACCCGGAGGUGCCGGUCUUCACCGCCGAGGGCGGCCUCCUCGGUGCCAGCCGCGGACAGGGCAGCGCCGGAACGCUCACCGCGCGCUCACGGAGCCUGGUGCCGCGAUUAUCCCCAUUGUACAGACCAGAAAACCGAUCUGCCAACGCUGGGAGGGCGGGACACUGCCUCUUGGCCUCCCAGUUCUCCCCCCAGGGGCCCCACGGUGGCUGCGGCUCGAGGUCCUGGUUAGGGCCGCGGCUUCCCAGGGAUCUGAGGCUCCUGGAUGCCGCCCCUGGCCCCACAAGCCUCAGCGCCGCCCCCCGCUCCCCCAUCACCUGCUGCACCUGUCCCCUGUUACACCUCAGCUUUGGAUUCAGAUCUUAAGUGAAGGUGGGGUUCCUUUGUUUUCAACGUGUGAAGCCACCGGCCUAUGGCAGUUGGGACUUAGGCUGCGUUUGUUCCUGUGUGAUUGUAAGCAAGUUGCUGGCAGUCUCUGGGCUUAGAAGGCAAUGUGUGGCAUGACCCCAAUACCAGCCCCUUGCCCCCGUUAGGUCUUUCCUAUGCCUCACUUACCCUUCUCGACAGAUGAGUUAACUGAGACCCAGAGAGGUUAACUAACUUGCCCAAGGUCACCCAGCAAACCAAUGACAGCACAGGUGCUGGAGCACGUGUCUCUGCACCAACAUGCCGCUGUGCCCUGCAAAACCCGAGAAGCCCCUCGUCUUCCACUUGUUCUCUUUGCCACUCAAGGAGCCGCCAGAUGGAGAAGCAAAAUGAAAAGUUGGUCUGAGAAGGAACAGGGUAAAUGAUUCUAGUUAAGGAAUUCAUGGCCUGGGAAACAUAUUCCCAGAGCAGCUCAUUUCAAAAGUUCUGCUGUUAAGAGCUCUGUGGGGUGGAAACGGCUCAGGCCGAUAAGAACUGAGGUGCAAGGCCAUGCCCACGGAGGGAAAAUGGGCCUCAUUUUCUUCUCCAUCCUGGCUGCCUGGCUGAUGUGUCUUGAUCUGCCUUCCCACACGGCGCUGUCUCCCACCACACACACGCUCGUGCACACACACACACACACACACACGCACGACUAUAGCCUUGGCAGGCCCUGGGCACCCGAGCUGGGGCUGACCACAACCCUGAAGCUCCAGGAUUCAGGGGAAACCCCAGCGUAAAUCAGAGCGGGUGGGACUGUAAAGAAAGAGAGCUCCUGGCCCGGAGGGAUGGCAGCAAAGCCCUGGAAGUCACUGUCCAAGAUGACAGCCACUGGCCACAUUUGAAUUAAAAUUAAUGUAAUUCAAUAAAUUUGAGCCAAAUUUAAAUUUACUUCAAUUCACUAAAGUCGAAUGUCCGGUUCCUCUGUUGUACUAGCCACAUAUCAAGCGCUCAGCAGCCACACAUUAUAAACCCAGGCUGAGUCAGAGCGCUGUGUCCCGCCCAGCCAUCUGGUACAGACAGAACAUCAGAAAGUUCUAUUGGAGAGCCUGUCUCCUAGAGACAUGGGUUUUCCUCUGCAGGGUCUGCUGCUCUCUUCUCUCUCAGUUGGAUCCUUCUGUCUGCUCCUCUGGUGCGUGGCCCCACGUGGCCACCGGCAGCAUCUCAUCGUGCCCUCUCAGCUAACCCCCCGCCUCAGUUCCUCUGAGGCAUGGGCUAGCCUGAUGGAGAACGAGACACACGUAAAGCAGAGACAAGUCACCGAGUCACCCCAGCCAUCAGCCAGCUCAUCCCAGACACAGGAGCGGGCCCAGCCGAAGCCUGCAAAGCUAUGAGACCUGUGACCUCCCAGCUGACUCCAGAUGCAUGAGAAAUAAAUGCUCAUCGUUGCGUGCCACUGAGAUUUGAGGGUUGUUCUUUACACAGCAUUAUUGUAGCAAUAGAUAACUGAUACACUCCUGUUCUCUCCAUCUUGAAGAUGCAAAAACUGAGGCUAGGAGAUGUUCAGUAAUUUGCUGAAGGUUUGACAGCUUAUAAACGGCAGAGCCUGGAUUUGCCCCUAGAUCUCUCUAACCACUGCACUCGCCACUAGAACAUAAACUCCGUGAGAACCAAAGUUUUUGUCUGCAGAUCUGACAACUGUUCAAUCUCUCAACUAUAAUGGUGCC